AACUAACGCUGGCGGCGUGCCUAACACAUGCAAGUCGUACGAGAAAGUUGGCUUCGGCCGAUGAGUACAGUGGCGCACGGGUGAGUAACGCGUGGAUAAUCUGCCCUUAAGUGUGGAAUAACGUACCGAAAGGUGCGCUAAUACCGCAUAAUGCCUGGCAACAUAAGUUGUCCGGCCAAAGAAGGCCUCUGCUUGCAAGCUUUCGCUAAAGGAUGAGUCCGCGUACCAUUAGCUAGUUGGUGGGGUAACGGCCUACCAAGGCGACGAUGGUUAGCUGGUCUGAGAGGAUGAUCAGCCACACUGGAACUGAGACACGGUCCAGACUCCUACGGGAGGCAGCAGUGAGGAAUAUUGCGCAAUGGGGGCAACCCUGACGCAGCAACGCCGCGUGAGUGAGGAAGGUUUUCGGACUGUAAAGCUCUGUCGAGCGGGAAGAAGUGUACCAUGGCUAAUAUCCAUGAUAUUUGACGGUACCG
rnacentral:rRNA from 1 species